UGAGGAGACAGGGGCACCGGGGCUUAAUAAAUCGGCUGGGAGGCCCCCGAGCCGGGUCUGGUCAGGCAGCGGUAACUGAUUGUCCCGCUCCGGCAAGACGGCAGCACGACUGACAAGACCGGGCAAGACGGCCUUUGACGUUUGGGUCUAGUUUGUUUACAUUUACACCGCGGCUUUAAAGCGAAGGGAACAAAAGUAGCUGUCUCGAGUAGGCUACUGAAGGAGGCAGAGCACGGGCUUGCCGGGCUGCCUUACGCGCCUGUGCGCCAUUAAAUGUGUGGGUGUGUACACGGGCGAGCAAUCAAAGCGGCUACAAACGUAACCCCGCUUCGCCAUGAUAUCCGGCCACUAUUUUUUUCCCUUUCUCUUUUAUGAGGCCAUUUCGUUAGGCAAAAAUGCAUCGGCCAUAUGCAUGCUUCAGCUACACGGAGCUACUAGUCUGGACUGAAGAACCCGCUUGUCAGAGGAAACCUUGCUGCGCAAAUAUCGUAAAUUCCAACCUGCAAGCAAGUGGGCAACACUGGACUCACCAAGGAUAAGCUUGCCCAGGCCUGCCCACUGAGCCACCUGCUGACCUUUCCAUGACCCACACAGAUAAACCACAGACCUACCUUCAGCUGACAAGCACAAAGUGAAAAAUGAAUAAUAAAUCCAGUAUUCAAUUUUUUCUAAAAGUA